UAAAAGUCGUAACAAGGUUUCCGUAGGUGAACCUGCGGAAGGAUCAUUAACGAGUAAACAGGAGAGUUGUAGCUGGCCGCAAGGCAUGUGCACGCUCUCUACUCAAUCCAACCUUACACCUGUGCACCUAUUGUAGGUCGAGUGGCUGGACUUGUUCUGGUCGCUCUUCCUAUGUUUUACACAUACACUUGUAGUCUCAGAAUGUAAUCAGCGUAUAACGCAUUAUAAAACAACUUUCAACAACGGAUCUCUUGGCUCUCGCAUCGAUGAAGAACGCAGCGAAAUGCGAUAAGUAAUGUGAAUUGCAGAAAUUCAGUGAAUCAUCGAAUCUUUGAACGCACCUUGCGCUCCUUGGUAUUCCGAGGAGCAUGCCUGUUUGAGUGUCAUGAAUAUCUCAACUCACCCGGUUUUUAUUAACUGUGGUGGGCUUGGACUUGGAGGUAUGCUGGCUGACUAGUCGGCUCCUCUCCUAAAUGCAUUAGCUGGACCUGUUAUGGAUCAGUACUCGGUGUGAUAAUUGUCUACGCCGUGUCUGUGAAGUGCUUGAAUGGACUAGCUUCUAACCGUCUUCGGACAACUAUUGACAUUUUGACCUC
rnacentral:rRNA from 1 species